rnacentral:rRNA from 1 species
AUUGAACGCUGGCGGCAGGCCUAAUACAUGCAAGUCGAACGAGUGGCGGACGGGUGUGUAAUGUCUGGGAAACUGCCUGAUGGAGGGGGAUACCUACUGGAAACGGUAGCAAAUACCGCAUACCAUCGGAUGUGCCCAGAUGGGAUUAGCUAGUAGGUAGGGUAAAGGCGCACCUAGGCGACGAUACCUAGCUGGUCUGAGAGGGUGACCGGCCACACUGGAACUGAGACACGGUCCAGACUCCUACGGGAGGCAGCAGUGGGGAAUCUUGCACAAUGGGCGAAAGCCUGAUGCAGCAAUGCCGCGUGUGUGAUGAAGGCCUUCGGAUUGUAAAGUACUUUCAUCAGGGAAGCGUUACCUACACAGAAAGCACCGGCUAACUCCGUGCCAGCAGCCGCGGUAAUAC